rnacentral:miRNA from 1 species
UAUAUUUGCUUAGUGCUUAUAUGUAUGUGUGCAUACACAUGUACAUAUAUGUAAAUGUAACUGUAAUCCAACUUCCUUCUUACAGACUUUCCACUAGAA